GUAUGGGGUCGAUUUAGCCAUGCUAGUUGCACGAGUUCACACUCGUGGCGAAAAGCUCAGUAACACGUGGCCAAACUACCCUACAGAGAACGAUAACCUCGGGAAACUGAGGCUAAUAGUUCAUACGGGAGUCAUGCUUGAAUGCCGACUCCCCGAAACGCUCCGGCGCUGUAGGAUGUGGCUGCGGCCGAUUAGGUAGACGGUGGGGUAACGGCCCACCGUGCCAAUAAUCGGUACGGGUUGUGAGAGCAAGAACCCGGAGACGGAAUCUGAGACAAGAUUCCGGGCCCUACGGGGCGCAGCAGGCGCGAAACCUUUACACUGCACGCAAGUGCGAUAAGGGGACCCCAAGUGCGAGGGCAUAUAGUCCUCGCUUUUCACGACUGUAAGGCGGUCGUGGAAUAAGAGCUGGGCAAGACCGGUGCCAGCCGCCGCGGUAAUACCGGCAGCUCAAGUGAUGACCGAUAUUAUUGGGCCUAAAGCGUCCGUAGCCGGCCACGAAGGUUCAUCGGGAAAUCCGCCAGCUCAACUGGCGGGCGUCCGGUGAAAACCACGUGGCUUGGGACCGGAAGGCUCGAGGGGUACGUCUGGGGUAGGAGUGAAAUCCUGUAAUCCUGGACGGACCACCGAUGGCGAAAGCACCUCGAGAAGACGGAUCCG
rnacentral:rRNA from 2 species